rnacentral:rRNA from 1 species
UGAGGCGGUUAAAGAUGGGCAUGCGUAACAUUAGCUAGUUGGUAAGGUAACGGCUUACCAAGGCGAUGAUGUUUAGGGGUUCUGAGAGGACAAUCCCCCACACUGGUACUGAGACACGGACCAGACUCCUACGGGAGGCAGCAGUGAGGAAUAUUGGGCAAUGGACGCAAGUCUGACCCAGCCAUGCCGCGUGCAGGAAGACGGCCCUAUGGGUUGUAAACUGCUUUUUUAAGGGGAUAAACCCUCCGACGUGUUGGAGGCUGAAGGUACCUUAAGAAUAAGCAUCGGCUAACUCCGUGCCAGCAGCCGCGGUAAUACGGAGGAUGCAAGCGUUAUCCGGAUUUAUUGGGUUUAAAGGGUGCGCAGGCGGCCUUAUAAGUCAGUGGUGAAAUCUUACGGCUCAACCGGAAAACUGCCAUUGAUACUGUAGGGCUAGAGUACAGACGAGGUAGGCGGAAUGUAGCAUGUAGCGGUGAAAUGCUUAGAUAUGCUACAGAACACCGAUCGCGAAGGCAGCUUACCAGACUGUAACUGACGCUAAUGCACGAAAGCGUGGGGAGCAAACAGGAUUAGAUACCCUGGUAGUCCACGCUGUAAACGAUGAUCACUCGAUGUUGGCGAUAUACAGUCAGCGUCCAAGCGAAAGUAUUAAGUGAUCCACCUGGGGAGUACGAUCGCAAGGUUGAAACUCAAAGGAAUUGACGGGGGCCCGCACAAGCGGAGGAGCAUGUGGUUUAAUUCGAUGAUACGCGAGGAACCUUACCUAGACUUAAAUGUAGAUUGCAUAGAGUAGAAAUACUUUUUUCCUUCGGGACUAUUUACAAGGUGCUGCAUGGUUGUCGUCAGCUCGUGCCGUGAGGUGUCGGGUUAAGUCCCAUAACGAGCGCAACCCCUACCCUUAGUUGCCAGCGGAUAAAGCCGGGGACUCUAGGGGAACUGCCAGCGUAAGCUGAGAGGAAGGUGGGGAUGACGUCAAAUCAGCACGGCCCUUACGUCUAGGGCUACACACGUGCUACAAUGGCCGGUACAGAGGGCAGCCACCUGGUGACAGGGAGCGAAUCUCCAAAGCCGGUCUCAGUUCGGAUCGAAGUCUGCAACUCGACUUCGUGAAGUUGGAUUCGCUAGUAAUCGUAUAUCAGCCAUGAUACGGUGAAUACGUUCCCGGGCCUUGUACACACCGCCCGU